AGUAAGGAAUAUUGGUCAAUGGACGCAAGUCUGAACCAGCCAUGCCGCGUGGAGGAUUAAGGCCCUCUGGGUUGUAAACUCCUUUUAUCUGGGAAGAAAUGCAUUUUUUCUAAAAUGCUUGACGGUACCAGAGGAAUAAGCACCGGCUAACUCCGUGCCAGCAGCCGCGGUAAUACGGAGGGUGCAAGCGUUAUCCGGAUUCACUGGGUUUAAAGGGUGCGUAGGCGGGCAGGUAAGUCCGUGGUGAAAUCUCUGAGCUUAACUCAGAAACUGCCAUGGAUACUAUUUGUCUUGAAUAUUGUGGAGGUAAGCGGAAUAUGUCAUGUAGCGGUGAAAUGCUUAGAUAUGACAUAGAACACCAAUUGCGAAGGCAGCUUACUACACAGUUAUUGACGCUGAGGCACGAAAGCGUGGGGAUCAAACAGGAUUAGAUACCCUGGUAGUCCACGCCCUAAACGAUGAUUACUCGACAUCAGCGAUACACUGUUGGUGUCUGAGCGAAAGCAUUAAGUAAUCCACCUGGGAAGUACGAUCGCAAGAUUGAAACUC
rnacentral:rRNA from 1 species